UACGAAGGGGGCUAGCGUUGCUCGGAAUUACUGGGCGUAAAGGGCGCGUAGGCGGACAGUUAAGUCAGAGGUGAAAGCCCAGGGCUCAACCUUGGAAUUGCCUUUGAUACUGGCUGUCUUGAGUUCGGGAGAGGUGAGUGGAAUGCCGAGUGUAGAGGUGAAAUUCGUAGAUAUUCGGCGGAACACCAGUGGCGAAGGCGACUCACUGGCCCGAUACUGACGCUGAGGCGCGAAAGCGUGGGGAGCAAACAGG
rnacentral:rRNA from 1 species